rnacentral:rRNA from 1 species
AUGGAGAGCACGCCGGCGGCCACCGCCAGCUCGAGCGUCGUCAGCCAUGGAGGUCGUAGCGAGGGUGGGAGCAUCCUCCUCCUGCCGUUCCCGGGGGCACAGGGCCACACGAACCCGAUGCUGGAGCUGGGCCGCCGCCUUGCGCGACACGGCCUCCAUCCCACGCUCGUCACCACCCGCGACGUGCUCUCCGCCACCCCGCUCCCAGGCGCGCCCUUCCGCGUGGCUCCCAUCUCCGACGGCUUCGCCUCGUGCCUGGACACCGACGAGUACUUCUCCCGGCUGGAGGCCGUGGGGUCCGAGACGCUGAGGGAUCUCCUGCGGUCGGAGGAUACGACCGCGGUGCGCGUGCUAGUGACGGGGAGCUGUGGGCGGGUCGGCUGA